rnacentral:lncRNA from 1 species
UUGGCUAUUUUUUAAUGAGUCUAUUGUGUAUGAUAAAAGGAGGUCUUUCCAAUUAAUUUUUAUACCUAAUUUUUUUGGUAAAUCUUUCUUUAAGUUAGAUAAGGGUGAAAAAAAGUUAGAGUCAAAUUAGAAUUCGAAAGAGCUUGAAUUGCAACAAACUCCACCCCUUAUCCUGUUUUAUCAGGUUUGUGUGACAACCAUAAUAAAGCC